rnacentral:rRNA from 1 species
AUUGAACGCUGGCGGCAGGCCUAACACAUGCAAGUCGAGCGGCAGCACGGGUACUUGUACCUGGUGGCGAGCGGCGGACGGGUGAGUAAUGCCUAGGAAUCUGCCCGGUAGUGGGGGAUAACGUCCGGAAACGGGCGCUAAUACCGCAUACGUCCUACGGGAGAAAGUGGGGGAUCUUCGGACCUCACGCUAUUAGAUGAGCCUAGGUCGGAUUAGCUAGUUGGUGAGGUAAUGGCUCACCAAGGCGACGAUCCGUAACUGGUCUGAGAGGAUGAUCAGUCACACUGGAACUGAGACACGGUCCAGACUCCUACGGGAGGCAGCAGUGGGGAAUAUUGGACAAUGGGCGAAAGCCUGAUCCAGCCAUGCCGCGUGUGUGAAGAAGGUCUUCGGAUUGUAAAGCACUUUAAGUUGGGAGGAAGGGCAGUUACCUAAUACGUGAUUGUUUUGACGUUACCGACAGAAUAAGCACCGGCUAACUCUGUGCCAGCCGCCGCGGUAA